rnacentral:rRNA from 1 species
GAGUUUGAUUCUGGCUCAGAUUGAACGCUGGCGGCAUGCUUUACACAUGCAAGUCGAACGGCAGCACGAGUGCUUGCACUUGGUGGCGAGUGGCGAACGGGUGAGUAAUGCAUUGGAACGUGCCUUGUAUUGGGGGAUAACUGAGCGAAAGCUUAGCUAAUACCGCAUACGCCCUGAGGGGGAAAGCUGGGGAUCGUUUGACCUGGCGAUAUAAGAGCGGCCAAUGUCUGAUUAGCUAGUUGGUGAGGUAAAGGCUUACCAAGGCGACGAUCAGUAGCGGGUCUGAGAGGAUGAUCCGCCACACUGGGACUGAGAGACGGCCCAGACUCCUACGGGAGGCAGCAGUGGGGAAUUUUGGACAAUGGGGGGAACCCUGAUCCAGCCAUGCCGCGUGUCUGAAGAAGGCCUUCGGGUUGUAAAGGACUUUUGUUGGGGAGCAAAGGUAUCUGGUUAAGAGCUGGAGAUUAUAGAGUACCCAA